rnacentral:rRNA from 1 species
GGAGAAGCAGGGGAUCGCAAGACCUUGCGCUUUUGGAGCGGCCGAUGCCUGAUUAGCUUGUUGGUGAGGUAAAAGCUCACCAAGGCUCCGAUCAGUAGCUGGUCUGAGAGGACGACCAGCCACACUGGGACUGAGACACGGCCCAGACUCCUACGGGAGGCAGCAGUGGGGAAUUUUGGACAAUGGGGGCAACCCUGAUCCAGCCAUGCCGCGUGAGUGAAGAAGGCCUUCGGGUUGUAAAGCUCUUUCAGCCGGAACGAAACGGUCACGGUCAAUACCCGUGACUACUGACGGUACCGGAAGAAGAAGCACCGGCUAACUACGUGCCAGCAGCCGCGGUAAUACGUAGGGUGCGAGCGUUAAUCGGAAUUACUGGGCGUAAAGCGUGCGCAGGCGGUUUUGUAAGUCAGAUGUGAAAUCCCCGGGCUUAACCUGGGAACUGCGUUUGAAACUACAAGGCUAG